GAUGAACGCUGGCGGCGUGCCUAAUACAUGCAAGUCGAGCGAACAGACGAGGAGCUUGCUCCUCUGACGUUAGCGGCGGACGGGUGAGUAACACGUGGAUAACCUACCUAUAAGACUGGGAUAACUUCGGGAAACCGGAGCUAAUACCGGAUAAUAUAUUGAACCGCAUGGUUCAAUAGUGAAAGACGGUUUUGCUGUCACUUAUAGAUGGAUCCGCGCCGCAUUAGCUAGUUGGUAAGGUAACGGCUUACCAAGGCAACGAUGCGUAGCCGACCUGAGAGGGUGAUCGGCCACACUGGAACUGAGACACGGUCCAGACUCCUACGGGAGGCAGCAGUAGGGAAUCUUCCGCAAUGGGCGAAAGCUUGACGGAGCAACGCCGCGUGAGUGAUGAAGGUCGUCGGAUCGUAAAACUCUGUUAUUAGGGAAGAACAAAUGUGUAAGUAACUAUGCACGUCUUGACGGUACCUAAUCAGAAAGCCACGGCUAACUACGUGC
rnacentral:rRNA from 1 species